rnacentral:rRNA from 17 species
GGAGCAGGUACGAAAGUAGGGCUUAGUGAUCCGGUGGUAUUAAGUGGGAAUGCCAUCGCUCAACGGAUAAAAGCUACCCUGGGAUAACAGGCUUAUCACUCCCAAGAGUUCACAUCGACGGAGUGGUUUGGCACCUCGAUGUCGGCUCAUCGCAUCCUGGGGCUGUAGUAGGUCCCAAGGGUUGGGCUGUUCGCCCAUUAAAGCGGUACGCGAGCUGGGUUCAGAACGUCGUGAGACAGUUCGGUCCCUAUCUGUCGUGGGCGCAGGAUAUUUGAUGGGAGCUGUUCCUAGUACGAGAGGACCGGAGCGGACGUACCUCCGG